rnacentral:lncRNA from 10 species
CUAGCAAGACAGAGUCUUACACUACAUUAUGUAGUCAUGGAAGGGACAUGCCAUCAGCUUUACCAUAUUUUAUUGGUUAGCAGUAAGCCAUAGGUUCAGCUCACACUCAGGGAAAGUACAGGCUGCAAACUGCAAGAGGAGUAAUCAUAAGGGGUCCACUCCAGAGUCUGUAGGCUACACCAUAUACAAGCUCAAGGUUCUCCCACUGUAACUGCCCUGCUUCCCCUUUCCCAGGGCAAUACACCACACUUGCCUUUCUCUAGGUCUCUACUUCCAUGAAAGCAAAGUCUCAGAAAGAGAACACAUGCAUGGCCGUCAGGCACUGUUUGCCAUGAUGAUGGCCACUGCUGUACCACACCAUAAACAUUGUUUUACAGUUACUAGUGGAUUCCCAA